rnacentral:misc_RNA from 1 species
UUAUUGAUAUGCUUAAGUUCAGCGGGUAUCCCUACCUGAUCCGAGGUCAACCUGAAAAAAUAGAUUGAGGGGGGUCGGCUGGCGCCGGCCGGGCCUACAAGAGCGGGUGACGAAGCCCCAUACGCUCGAGGACCGGACGCGGUGCCGCCGCUGCCUUUCGGGCCCGCCCCCCCAGCGCGGGGGGGGGCGGGGGCCCAACACACAAGCCGUGCUUGAGGGCAGCAAUGACGCUCGGACAGGCAUGCCCUCCGGAAUACCAGAGGGCGCAAUGUGCGUUCAAAGACUCGAUGAUUCACUGAAUUCUGCAAUUCACAUUAGUUAUCGCAUUUCGCUGCGUUCUUCAUCGAUGCCGGAACCAAGAGAUCCGUUGUUGAAAGUUUUAACUAAUUUAGCUAGUUUCUCAGACUGCAACUUCAGACAGCGUUCACAGGUGUCUUCGGCGGGCGCGGGCCCGGGGGCGGAAGCCCCCCGGCGGCCGUGAGGCGGGCCCGCCGAAGCAACAGGGUUCGGAAAACACGGGUGGGAGGUUGGACCCAGAGGGCCCUCACUCGGUAAUGAUCCUUCCGCAGGUUCACCUACGGAAACCUUGUUANNACUUUAACUUC